CGGGGCGUAGCGCAGCCUGGUAGCGCACUUGCAUGGGGUGUAAGGGGUCGGAUGUUCGAAUCAUCUCGCCCCGACCA
rnacentral:tRNA from 1 species